rnacentral:rRNA from 1 species
ACGUAGGGAGCAAGCGUUGUCCGGAAUUACUGGGCGUAAAGGGUGCGUAGGCGGCGCAGUUAGUCAGAAGUGAAAUAUCGGGGCUUAACCCCGGGGCUGCUUCUGAUACUGCUGUGCUCGAGUGCAGGAGAGGUAAGUGGAAUUCCUAGUGUAGCGGUGAAAUGCGUAGAUAUUAGGAGGAACACCAGUGGCGAAGGCGACUUACUGGACUGUAACUGACGCUGAGGCACGAAAGCGUGGGUAGCAAACAG